UGCCAAGUUGGCGUGGGGGAUAUCCUAUCUUCUCGAAGGUUUUUGUUCUCUGAAAAUCUUCUUCGCCAUCUCUCUCUAUUCGCUUAAAGGGUCACUUCAUAACCAAUUGGCAAUUCGAGAUUGUCAAUGUGGCGUGGGGGAUAUAUUUUUCUGAUACCCGCUUUACCUCACUUCCUCCUUCCGGUCGCUCUUCAUACAAAUAUCCCCCAACAACUUUUUUUGGGAAUUUGCUAAAGAACAUCCUCUUUAACAUGAACGCUUUCUAGGCAAUCGAAAUACAUUUUGGGUCCCAAUAACCAGUCAACAGCUCGAGGUUGUUUGACGUGGCGUGGAGAGUCUUGCACACUUUCUCAUCAGGCGCUAUUCCUUACCCCUUUAUGAAAAAUUUAGUUAACUCGGCCUCAGGGUAAAUUAACCAGUC
rnacentral:sRNA from 1 species